rnacentral:lncRNA from 1 species
UGGUUUUCUAUCAAUUUCAAUAUGAACAUACAUUUAGUAUGUUAUGAACAUUUAAGUAAGGAGCCUGUAGUUCAGUGGUUGUCGUUUGUUUGUGUGUUACAUAUUUGUUUUUCGUUCCUUUUUGUACAUAAAUAAGGCCGCUAGUUUUCUCGUUUGAAUUUUUUUACAUCGUCAUUUCGGGGCCUUUUAAAGCUGAGUAUGCGGUAUGGGCUUUGCUCGUUGUUGAAGGCCGUACGGUGACAUAUAGUCGUUAAUUUCUGUGUCAUUUUGGUCUCUUGUGGAGAGUUGUCUCAACAUGGCAAUCAUACCACAUCUUUUUUUUUGUAAUCAAUGAAUUUUGUAAAAUAUUUAAUGAAUGGAGAAUUUCAGAAAAGGUAUCAA